rnacentral:rRNA from 1 species
UACAUGCUGACGAGUGGCGCACGGGUGCGUAACACGUAUGUAACUUACCUCUAACUGGGAAAUAGCUUCGAGAAAUCGAAAUUAAUGUCCCAUAGUAAUUAGAUCAGGCAUCUGGUUUAAUUUAAAGCUCCGGCGGUUAGAGAUAGACAUGCGUCCUAUUAGCUUGUUGGUGAGGUAACGGCUCACCAAGGCUACGAUAGGUAGGGGGCCUGAGAGGGUUUUCCCCCACACUGGAACUGAGACACGGUCCAGACUCCUACGGGAGGCAGCAGUGAGGAAUAUUGGUCAAUGGUCGCAAGACUGAACCAGCCAUGCCGCGUGCAGGAUGAAGGCCCUAUGGGUUGUAAACUGCUUUUCUCAGGGAAUAAACCCUUCUACGUGUAGAAGGCUGAAGGUACCUGAGGAAUAAGCACCGGCUAACUCCGUGCCAGCAGCCGCGGUAAUACGGAGGGUGCAAGCGUUAUCCGGAUUUAUUGGGUUUAAAGGGUGCGCAAGCGGGGCUUUAAGUCAGUGGUGAAAUCUCUUCCCUUAACGAAGAAACUGCCAUUGAUACUGAAGUUCUUGAAUCUAGUUGACGUUAGUGGAAUGUGUCAUGUAGCGGUGAAAUGCUUAAAUAUGACACAAAACACCGAUCGCGAAGGCAGCUAACGAAACUAGUAUUGA